rnacentral:rRNA from 1 species
GUGAGCAAUCUGCCCUUGACUCUGGGAUAACUGCGGGAAACUGUAGCUAAUACCGGAUACGACGCCUUGGGGCAUCCCACGGGCGUGGAAAGAAUUUCGGUCAAGGAUGAGCUCGCGGCCUAUCAGCUAGUUGGUGAGGUAAUGGCUCACCAAGGCGACGACGGGUAGCCGGCCUGAGAGGGUGACCGGCCACACUGGGACUGAGACACGGCCCAGACUCCUACGGGAGGCAGCAGUGGGGAAUAUUGCGCAAUGGGCGAAAGCCUGACGCAGCAACGCCGCGUGAGGGAUGAAGGCCUUCGGGUUGUAAACCUCUUUUAUCAGGGAAGAAGCGAAAGUGACGGUACCUGAAGAAAAAGCACCGGCUAACUACGUGCCAGCAGCCGCGGUAAUACGUAGGGUGCAAGCGUUAUCCGGAAUUAUUGGGCGUAAAGAGCUCGUAGGCGGUUUGUCGCGUCUGCUGUGAAAAUCUGAGGCUCAACCUCGGACUUGCAGUGGGUACGGGCAGACUAGGGUUGCGGUAGGGGGAGAAAGGGAAUUCCUGGUGUAGCGGUGGAAUGCGCAGAUAUCAGGAGGAACACCAAUGGCGAAGGCACUUCUCUGGGCCGCUACUGACGCUGAGGAGCGAAAGCGUGGGGAGCGAACAGGAUUAGAUACCCUGGUAGUCCACGCCGUAAACGUUGGGCGCUAGAUGUGGGUCACAUUCCACGUGAUCCGUGU